GUAGGGAAUAUUGGUCAAUGGACGAAAGUCUGAACCAGCCAUUCCGCGUGCAGGAAGAAGAUUCUAUGGAUUGUAAACUGCUUUUAGCAGAGAAGAAACGCCUUCAUUGAUGAGGGUUUGACGGUAUCUGCGGAAUAAGCACCGACUAACUCCGUGCCAGCAGCCGCGGAAAUACGGGGGGUGCAAGCGUUAUCCGGAAUCACUGGGUUUAAAGGGUGCGUAGGCGGGAAAUUAAGUCAGUGGUGAAAGUCUGUUGCUUAACGAUAGAAUUGCCGUUGAUACUGAUUUUCUUGAAUUGGGUUGAGGUUAGCGGAAUGUGACAUGUAGCGGUGAAAUGCAUAGAUAUGUCAUGGAACACCAAUUGCGAAGGCAGCUAGCUGGGCCUUGAUUGACGCUGAGGCACGAAAGCGUGGGUAGCGAACAGGAUUAGAAACCCUUGUAGUCC
rnacentral:rRNA from 1 species